UACACUUUAUACAGUACAGUUUUUGGACCAAAAUGUAUUUUCGAUGCUUCAAAAAAUUCUAACUGACCCUCUGAUGUCACAUGGACUACUUUGAUGAUGUUUUUCUUACCUUUCUGGACACACAGAGAGCUCUUGGACUAAAUCUAAGAUAUCUUAAACUUUGUUCCAAAGAUAAACAGAGGUCUUACGGGUUUGGAACAACAUGAGGGCAACCCUCACAGGGAAAGGAAAAAAAGGCGAGCUGAAGGAGCAGCUUGAGCCAGAAAAAACCAACGCAAUUUUAGAUGCAGUGAGGGAGCGAUUCCCCAACACCGAGGUGGCAGAGAUCCGGGCCCUUCUACGGAGGAAGUGCAACAGUGAGAGUUAAAAGGCCUCUAGUAACUCAAGUCAGAGCUACAGGUGCUGGUCAUAUAAUUAGAAUAUC